rnacentral:rRNA from 1 species
UACGUAGGGGGCAAGCGUUGUCCGGAUUUAUUGGGCGUAAAGAGCGUGUAGGCGGCCUGAAAGGUCAGCUGUGAAAAUCCGGGGCUCAACCCCGGACUUGCAGUGGGUACGGGCAGACUAGAGUGUGGUAGGGGAGACUGGAAUUCCUGGUGUAGCGGUGAAAUGCGCAGAUAUCAGGAGGAACACCGAUGGCGAAGGCAGGUCUCUGGGCCACUACUGACGCUGAGAAGCGAAAGCAUGGGGAGCGAACAGG